rnacentral:lncRNA from 1 species
ACAGAGGGAUCCGCCCCUUUCCUGGCUGCCUACACAGAAAGCAGCCAUGGGAGACUUGCCGAGGACUUUGUCCACCAAGUGAUGAAAGCAUGCAAAUGCCUCCGAAUCAAAGAAUUCAAUCCACGUUACUCCAUUGCCAUUUGUUACCACGUCCUUCAGUCUCCUCAAUCUCUCAGUCCCCUUAUUUUUCGUGACCUUGACAACUUUGAGGAGGACUCAUCAGCCCUCAGAGAUUCCUUCUCCUCGCUGCUCCUCCUCUCCCAGUUCCUGCCCAGGCUGACUCUAUCAUACAAGCUGUAACUUCUGCCAGUCCUAUCAGCCAGCAAACAACAAAGCUGCAGCACUGCCAAGGACAUGGAUCUCUCAAGCUCCUGUCUGGCACAUUGCAGGAAGUAAGGGGCAUGUCUAACCACCACGCUCAGCCAAGCCAAAGAACAAAGGCAGCGGCACUCUCUCUGGACCUUGGGGAAUAACACAGCCCUCCCAGGCAGAAGAUGCAAGCAUUCCUGUUGCAGUGCAAUUAGGAGCAGCGAAGAAACUCAGACAUGUGCCCCUUCUGUGUUGGCAACUGAUAUGACAGAACUUCAUGAGGUGCAAAAUACAGGCUGUGUGUGUGUGUGUGUGUGUGUGUGCACACUCGGUGCUAUAUGCUGCAGCCCAAGUUUCAGAGUGAUUUUUAACUUGAAGCUGAUGAGAUGGGAUAUUGUGUCUUUUUUAAAAAUGUAACCAACAA